rnacentral:rRNA from 1 species
UACGUAGGGGGCAAGCGUUGUCCGGAAUGACUGGGCGUAAAGGGCGUGUAGGCGGCCGAUUAAGUCUGGAGUGAAAGUCCUGCUUUCAAGGUGGGAAUUGCUUUGGAUACUGGUUGGCUUGAGUGCGGAAGAGGUAAGUGGAAUUCCCAGUGUAGCGGUGAAAUGCGUAGAGAUUGGGAGGAACACCAGUGGCGAAGGCGACUUACUGGGCCGUAACUGACGCUGAGGCGCGAAAGCGUGGGGAGCGAAC